GCCCCGCCCCGCAUCCGCGCGUGGGGCCCCGGCGGGGAGGGGGCGGGAGCGGGGGCGGUGCCGGCCUCCGGGGACCGGUGGGGGAUGGGGCCCGGAUGAUAAAUAACUCCCUGGCGCCCUCCGCUCCACUACGCCUACAAGUGCCUUCCUUACCGCUCCACUAUUCUGGCUCUGUACGGGCUGGGGGCAGAGGGCCUUAGGGAGCUGUUCCCGGUGGCUUCCUGGGCAUGUUGGCCAGAUCUGCCAGUUUCACCCCCACCCCAAAUCUCCAGUGAUGUGUUUGCCCCAGAAAGACGAGGGAAGGGAGAGGAGAACUGCUGGAAGCUGCUGAAAGCGCUUUGAUCCUGAUACUUUUCACUGAGGAGUCUAAAAGUACGGAGUCCAACUUCCUGACUUUACAGACUGAGAAACUGGGGCUUACUAAAUUGUGACCGGGCCUGACCUCUUAUUCACCUGGUAGAACCCGGGCCUCCUGGGCCUCCUGCUCCUGGGCAGCCGCCUACAAUUUUACCCUGCAUCUGCCAGGGCCUGCUGUGGGUCCCGAGGUGAGGGUGAUGGACUAUAGCCCCUCCCCCGUCGCCCCGUUUCCUCAGCGGCUCUCCCUUCCGGAAUGUUAAGGCAGGGAGCCCAUCUGGUCAUUGUUACCUGCUUAUUAUUAUUUUGUUAUUGUCAGUGCUCAACGGGCCUCCUGAAAGACUGGCUGGGGAUGGGAUAUGAGGGUGUGGGGAGAGGGCAACCUCUCCAACACUCCCUAGGGAUUGUUGGGACAUCUAGGUCUGGCUGACAGCUCCUGCACACAACCCCUCAGGUAGACUGAAGGUUCCAAGGACCCUUCUUCCACGGACUCCCUCUGACCUUUCACUUUCACCUUCUCUGAGCCUUGGCCUCUCAGCUCUUCUUCACUGCCUCAGGGCCUUUGCAUGUACUAUGCCCUUUGCCCCAUGCUCCCUUCCCCACUGCAAAUCCUAAUGUCCUCAGAGAGGCCACUCCCACUCACUGUAUUUCCAUUAUAUCCUUGGAAGCAUUCAGAAUGACUGGAUGGACCAUAAAUUUCCGGAGGGCAAGGACCUUUAUCUAUCCUGAACCUGCUGGUCACCAACAUCCAAUACAGCACCUGGCUCAGUGUUGAAGGAGAAUGCUGCCUGGCCUAGUUGCUGUGGCAGUCUCUGGCCUCAGUUUGUCUGACUCACCUGUGGGCAUGAACAUUCCCAGUCCCCAACCCUAGUCUUCUACCUCCCUACCUCAUCCGGCCCUGCCCCUGAUUGGGCUCUGGAGCAAGAAGGCCAUGAAGGAAACUGUCACCAGGAGCAGGAGGCCUGCCCUGGUGGGCAAUGGCCCAGGGGUGUGAGUGUGUCUAUAUCCACACAAAUGUCUGUUUGUGCCUGUGUUGUGUUCAUGUAUGGGUCAGUGUACUCAGGUGUGUUCACACACAAGGGCAGGUGUCUGUGUGCCAGUGUGGGUUCAUGCACAUAGAUCUGUGUGCCUGUAUGUAUACACAUAUAUGUAUACUUGUGUAUACGUAUGUGUCCAUUUGUGUGUUUCUAGGCACGUAGGUCUCUGUGCCCUCCAGACCUGUCCUCUCAGGUCCCAGCCUGGGCAAAGGGACCCCUGAUGAGAGGGGAUCCUGUCCCCAGCCUGUUGCUAGCCUUGCCCUGGGACCCUGCUCUGGGCCUGUGCAAUGGGGCUAGAUUGGAGGAGAUGGGGCCAUGCUUCUCUCCAAGGCAGGACAUGAGUGGGUGGCCUAGAUAGCCUCCACCCUGACCUUGGGCCUUGACCUUAAUAAGUGGGUGAAUGGUCUGGCGAAAUAUGGGCAGAACCUACCGGGGCUGAAAAACUGACCAGCAAACAGGCCUUGGGAAAUGGAGGCACAGGGAACCCAAGGCAAUUCACCUCUCUGAGUCUCAGUUUCCUCCUCAUGAAAAUGGAGUGAAUAAUCUCACCUCCCUCGUGGAGUAUUGUGAUUUUUGUUUCUUUUCUUUUUUCUUUUCUUUUCUUUUCUUUCUUUUUUUUUUUUUAUUAUUCAGUAAACUCUACCCCCAUCAUGGGGCUAGAACUCACGACCCUGAGAUCAAGAGUCCACAUGCUCUACUGACUGAGCCAACCAGAUGCUGGCUGAGCACCUACUGUGAGCCAAGCGAUGGGGACACACACGAAUGACGCAAACACCCUCACCCCGCACCUGGUCUGAAAGAGGAACCUGUCAAACACUGCUUCAAGGAGGCUGAAGGGUGCCCCCUCCAUGGACGGGGCCACGGCUCUAAUCUCCGCCGCUCUGGCGCCUCUUUCUCGAGAGCGAAGAGUUUACCCUUCUUGUUUAAAGCGACCUGCAACUCGGUUUAAUGUUUAGGCUUUAUUUGAAGACCCAGAGAACUAAAAUCUACUUGAUGAAACGGAAAGCCCCAAAGAAAGAGAAAGGAGUUAAUCAGGAAGCAGAAAGGGGUGAGGCGGAGGGGACCUCUCCAUGGGGAGGUACGCGGGGAAUGUCCCGCGGCGCUCGGGACACCGCGGGGCUGGGUAGAGUUUGUGGGGAACGUCCUCCGACACUUAGGCCCCACCGGCUGGUGAGGGCGGGGCUUGCGAUCACAGUCCCCGGGUGACGGAACCCCGCUAGGGGGCCGGGGGAGGGGCGCCGGCCUUGGGCCGGGGGCGCGUCGGCCCCGGCGCAUUCCUGAGGAUCAGGUUACCGGCCAAGGCGGCGGCCCCUCCCCUCCCUUCCAGCCUGGCUUCCGCCCUCGCCAGGGGCAGGAACCACAGUCACCUCCCCCGUCCUGUGCAGGUGCUUGGCCAGCCGCAGGGAGGGGAUCCACACCCUGUCCUCUGGGCCGGCACUGGCGCUUUCCAGUCUCACAAGACCAUUUUACAGACGAGGAAACCGACGCGUCCUCAGCGCCUUUUCAGCACUGGUGGAACCAGACUGAUAGAGCCUGCUUUACGACCCGUGGCCCAGUUGACUCCACCGAGGCUGCAGUGUCCCCAGCCUCUCGUAGGCAGGCCGGGAAGAGCGGCUCAGUCUAAGUCCAGUGUUCAUUGAUUGUCCUGGGUGAGCCCCGAAGGGCGCCGGCUCAAGGAGAAAACCACGCCUCACAACACCUUCCCUACCAGAUUCGUGCGCUCAUCCAGGGAACUCUGCUGUAUACCCAGGCCCAGCCUCAAGCAUCAUCAAUCACCCCUUCCACCACCCACUCUUGAGCACCUACUGUGUGUCCGGGCUCUGUGUGCUGGGGGAGGGUUUUCCAUCAUCCCUCAUCACCUCCUAAGCUGAUCCUCGAAUAGAAGACAGGACAGAACCACCAUAAUGAAGAAGUAUGCUUUAGGCUGAUGUCACUCUUUCUCCUUCAGGUCGACCCCUUUUUCUGUUUUUACUUGGGUAAAUAUAUUUCAAAAGGGAAACUUCAUGUCACCACCAAGAA